UACGGAGGGUGCAAGCGUUAUCCGGAUUCACUGGGUUUAAAGGGUGCGUAGGCGGGCAGGUAAGUCCGUGGUGAAAUCUCUGAGCUUAACUCAGAAACUGCCAUGGAUACUAUUUGUCUUGAAUGUUGUGGAGGUAAGCGGAAUAUGUCAUGUAGCGGUGAAAUGCUUAGAUAUGACAUAGAACACCAAUUGCGAAGGCAGCUUACUGGACAAAUAUUGACGCUGAGGCACGAAAGCGUGGGGAUCAAACAGG
rnacentral:rRNA from 1 species